CCUACGGGAGGCAGCAGUGGGGAAUAUUGCACAAUGGGCGAAAGCCUGAUGCAGCGACGCCGCGUGAGGGAUGACGGCCUUCGGGUUGUAAACCUCUUUCAGCAGGGACGAAGCGAAAGUGACGGUACCUGCAGAAGAAGCGCCGGCCAACUACGUGCCAGCAGCCGCGGUAAUACGUAGGGCGCAAGCGUUGUCCGGAAUUAUUGGGCGUAAAGAGCUCGUAGGCGGUUUAUCACGUCGGCUGUGAAAUCCCGAGGCUUAACCUCGGGCCUGCAGUCGAUACGGGUUGACUAGAGUGAAGCAGGGGAGACUGGAAUUCCUGGUGUAGCGGUGAAAUGCGCAGAUAUCAGGAGGAACACCGGUGGCGAAGGCGGGUCUCUGGGCUUUAACUGACGCUGAGGAGCGAAAGCGUGGGUAGCAAACAGGAUUAGAUACCCUGGUAGUCCACGCCGUAAACGGUGGGCGCUAGGUGUGGGGACCAUUCCACGGUUUCCGUGCCGCAGCUAACGCAUUAAGCGCCCCGCCUGGGGAGUACGGCCGCAAGGCUAAAACUCAAAGGAAUUGACGGGGGCCCGCACAAGCGGCGGAGUAUGUUGCUUAAUUCGAUGCAACGCGAAGAACCUUAC
rnacentral:rRNA from 1 species